AGGGAGAGGAGCCGUGGACAGGGAGGGGCCCGCGCGAACGCCCCCCGCUUUCCAUCCAGACUCAGGGUUCACCCGCGGCCUCUACACUCAGUAUCGCGUCCUGGCCUUUCUCUCCCCCCCGCCGUCAGCUUGGCUACUUCCACCCCCGAGCCCUCAUGCUGGACUUUUUUAAGAAGUUGGAGUGGGUCUAUUUCUGUUUGGGAGAUAGGGUGCCCUCCUCCCCUCGGAGGUGCUGGGGACAGGACAGGAGGGCCAACAGCGGGCACUGAUCCCUUUCCGCUGCGCACAGGCCAGGUCCAGGGUGAGCUGGGCAGGAGGACUGGGGGGGGGGGGUCCUACCUCCGACAGGGCACCAUCCUCCCUGAGAAUCCCAGUGAACACCCAACCAUCCCCACCCGCACCGGUGGGGUCAGGCUGGUCCCAGGCCUGACUGUCCUUUCUGGGUUGGGGAGGGGGGUAUCUACUGAUGCUGAAGGCCACAGAGGCCAUAGCUGCCCCUACCUGGGGACAAGUGGCUUCUCUAAUCAAGUAACCCCACCCACACCCCCAGGGAAAGGGCAGCAGAAAUGGGGCCCGCAGCUGGGGGAAUCCUGUCUUGGAAAAAUUGUGGACAGAACUGCAACGGGUAAUCCCCACCCAAGCCCACGGGUCCCCUCGUAUCCAUGGCCCUCCUCUGGGGUGCAGGUAGGGGAGUCAAGGCAUGGUCACCCGGCUGCGCUCUGCUGGGGGUGGAGAAGCUGUUUGUGCAGGGUAGACGCUCAGGGGCAAAGGAACCAAGGCGCGACAGGUCUGCCUGUGAAGCCAGGACGGCAGGGGGCCCCAAUCCCUUUUGUUUUCCUUGAAGGUGGGAAUGAAUCCUGGGUGUCCUCAGCCUGGGAGGGCGGGCAGAGGGGAAUGCGGAAGAAGAGGGCCUCGGGCUGGGGUUCUCCGUCCUCCACGCAGACCCUCAUCUCGCUGUCCCAGCCUGAGGCCGGCGCAGCCCUGCUCCCUGCACUGGGGCCCCCAUCUGCCCACCCCAAGGUUUCCCUGGCGUUGAGGCCAGAGACCCCCUCAGGGCUCCACCCCCAGGAUUCUGCUUUGGGUCAGUGCCCUCUCCUGCUCAGUCGCCGCCCCGGCGAAACCCGGGAGUAA
rnacentral:lncRNA from 1 species